rnacentral:rRNA from 1 species
UGAAGUGUGGACGCCAGUCUGCAUGGAGCCGACCUUGAAAUACCACCCUUUAAUGUUUGAUGUUCUAACGUGGACCCGUGAUCCGGGUUGCGGACAGUGUCUGGUGGGUAGUUUGACUGGGGCGGUCUCCUCCUAAAGAGUAACGGAGGAGCACGAAGGUUGGCUAAUCCUGGUCGGACAUCAGGAGGUUAGUGCAAUGGCAUAAGCCAGCUUGACUGCGAGCGUGACGGCGCGAGCAGGUGCGAAAGCAGGUCAUAGUGAUCCGGUGGUUCUGAAUGGAAGGGCCAUCGCUCAACGGAUAAAAGGUACUCCGGGGAUAACAGGCUGAUACCGCCCAAGAGUUCAUAUCGACGGCGGUGUUUGGCACCUCGAUGUCGGCUCAUCACAUCCUGGGGCUGAAGUAGGUCCCAAGGGUAUGGCUGUUCGCCAUUUAAAGUGGUACGCGAGCUGGGUUUAGAACGUCGUGAGACAGUUCGGUCCCUAUCUGCCGUGGGCGCUGGAGAACUGAGGGGGGCUGCUCCUAGUACGAGAGGACCGGAGUGGACGCAUCACUGGUGUUCGGGUUGUCAUGCCAAUGGCACUGCCCGGUAGCUAAAUGCGGAAGAGAUAAGUGCUGAAAGCAUCUAAGCACGAAACUUGCCCCGA